UGCAAAUCUAAAAGCACUAUGUAGCAGGAGCCUCUAGGGGGAGCUCGCUACUUUAGGAUUUACAGUUACCAUAGAGAAGCAUGGAAGCUGCGGACUGUCAAUCCAGCAGAAGUACAGCCAUGUGAGAAGAAUUUUAAUGUCCUAGCGGGUGGGAAAUCAGGAAGCGGAGAUCGCUCAAGUAUAGAUAUAAUCCAUAGCCACUGACCUGCCACAGCGUCAGUGGGGAUUGUAGUGGAACAUAACGGAAGUUGGAAGACAAGGCCAACAGCUGCAAGGCCUGUGUAGAGAAAAAAACUAAUGUAGAGGUAAGAAGCUCAGCGCCCAGCCAGACACUACUGUGAGUUUGAACCAGACCAGGAAUGCCUAACACAAGGAAAUAUUUUGUUACGCUAAAGAUAGAAAUUUGUAAUUAGGUUGAUGCCCAACACCAGGAUGAGAUUUAAAACUGAUAUGUAAUACAUCGGGACACAGAACCUAACAGCAUACGCAUUUUGGUCGACAGACCCUAAGUCAUGACAAAACAUUGAUACAAAAGAAAAGAUUUUAAACAAUACAUACACUGGUCAUGUGACUGGUUACUAAUGAGUUUUGUUUUAACUUUUUUUUUUAGCAUCUCAAAUAUGUCUUCGGACCCUAUCUUUCAAAGCUUUUAGAUGUACUUCCUACAUACUGAUGUUUUACACACAAUACAGGAAGCCAGAUAUACUAUAAAGCUUCAACAGUUAGUGUAGUCUAUUACUAUAUAUGUUUUUUUGGUACUGUGUGCAAUAUUGGUUUGUUACUGACAGAUAAUUACAUGUGCAUUUUUUUGUGACCACAUUUCCAGUUCUUUGUAUGUCAGAGCUAUGUACCUGGUUGAGAACAUUGCUCACUUUUAAAUAAACUAGGGAGAAGUAUUAAUCCCAAAGUGGAGCAAUUUUAAGAUGCCAUUUUAAAGCCCAUGGCAACUAUAUCACCUUAACCCCUUAAGGACGUCCUGGUAGUUAAGGACACAGGGUGUACCUGUAUGCCCGUGGGAAUUCCGGUCUCCACCGCAGGCACCCCGUGAUCAGUUCAGAUCAGCGAUUCCGGGCUGAUCUGGUCUCUGGUGACCCGAUCGCCAGGAAAAUGGUGACCCGGUCCCCUGUGAUUGGCCGUUCAGGAGUGAUUGGCGAAUCGUGUGGGGGGGACGAGACAAUGUUUACAGUUGAAAUCCUCCGCUCUGGAAGUCCUGGGGGGGACCAGCGGCAGAUACCUUAGAAAUGGCGCCAGGCAUCUGGAGACCUGGGACCAGCGGCAGGCAAGUGGAGGCGGCGUCAGAGGCAGCAGUGAAGAUCGCUGUAAAGUGAUCUUCACUGCUGCUUCUAGGAGUUUAAAAACUACAACUCCCAACAUGCCCAGACAGCUUUUGGCUUUGCUUUAUAUGUGAAUGAUAUGCCCGCGGGAGAGAUAAGAAAAUACAGUUAUUAUUUAGAGAGUUAAGGAGUUUUCACUUCCCUUUUCACUUCAUUUAUAUGCAGCUCUACAUCUACCCAAUGCGAGAAGGUGUUGUUAUUCCACCAUGUUUGCAGUCAAGCCAUAUGUAUAGCUUGGUAACAUUUUAUUAAAUCCAGGCAUCCCAAACCUUCCUGUUUCACAGGCAUGUCCAUGGUUUUGUAGCAUACCCUAGAUUUUUUAUUUCGCGAAAUACAUUUAAAAUGAAUAGAUUACAAUCUUUUAAUAACUAC